GACGAACGCUGGCGGCGUGCUUAACACAUGCAAGUCGAACGGAAAGGCCCUGCUUUUGUGGGGUGCUCGAGUGGCGAACGGGUGAGUAACACGUGAGUAACCUGCCCUUGACUUUGGGAUAACUUCAGGAAAAUGGGGCUAAUACCGGAUAGGAGCUCCUGCUGCAUGGUGGGGGUUGGAAAGUUUCGGCGGUGGGGGAUGGACUCGCGGCUUAUCAGCUUGUUGGUGGGGUAGUGGCUUACAAAGGCUUUGACGGGUAGCCGGCCUGAGAGGGUGACCGGCCACCUUGGGACUGAGAUACGGCCCAGACUCCUACAGGAGGCAGCAGUGGGGAAUAUUGCACAAUGGGCGGAAGCCUGAUGCAGCAACGCCGCGUGCGUGAUGACGUCCUUCGGGUUGUAAACCGCUUUCGCCUGUGACGAAGCGUGAGUGACGGUAAUGGGUAAAGAAGCACCGGCUAACUACGUG
rnacentral:rRNA from 1 species